CGGUGAAUACGUUCCCGGACCUUGUACACACCGCCCGCCAAGCCAUGGAAGCUGGGUGUACCUAAAGUCGAUAACCGCAAGGAGUCGCCUAGGGUAAAACUAGUAACUGGGGCU
rnacentral:rRNA from 1 species